rnacentral:misc_RNA from 1 species
GAAGGGCAAUUUUUUUCCAUUUAAUAAUACACUUGAAAACCCUACCAAUCUUACUGUACAAGAGGAAAACUUCUGAGCAUUAAACCCAUCUUAGAGUUAGAAUAAACCCCUGAGCCUAGAAAGACCCAAUUUUUUUAAAACAAAGGAAUAAAGCUUAGCACAAUUGAUCAUAAUAGAACUAGAGAAUCAAACUAAAUAAAACACUCCUACUUCAAGAACAUUGCAAAUUAGAUACUGAGUAGGUCAGGUGGAGGUGAUUGAGGUGUUGGUUGAUGAUGGUCUUUUGUGUCCCCGGGAAUUGAGGUUGGGGACUCUAAUGCAGAGGCUGAUGGGGGCGACUGAUCAGUGACGAUUGAGUCAUCUGAUUUUGCACCUGGUGGCUUGGGAAGUUCCGUUAGUAUUUGCACUACCUCUCGCAUGGUGGGGCGUUCCACAGCCUGCUCUUCGACACACAACAAUGCGACAUAGAAGACAUGCAUCACCUCAUUAAGGGGAACCGUUGAGAGUCUUGGGUCAAGGAUCUUGAGAACUCCAUCCUUUUUCCCAUCAGUCAUUUUCCUAACCCAUUGGACUAUGUCAACACCAUCACCAA